rnacentral:rRNA from 1 species
GACGAACGCUGGCGGCGUGCUUAACACAUGCAAGUCGAACGGAAAGGCCCUGCUUUUGUGGGGUGCUCGAGUGGCGAACGGGUGAGUAACACGUGAGUAACCUGCCCUUGACUUUGGGAUAACUUCAGGAAACUGGGGCUAAUACCGGAUAGGAGCUCCUGCUGCAUGGUGGGGGUUGGAAAGUUUCGGCGGUUGGGGAUGGACUCGCGGCUUAUCAGCUUGUUGGGGGGGUAGUGGCUUACAAAGGCUUUGACGGGUAGCCGGCCUGGGAGGGUGAACGGGCACAUUGGGACUGAGAUACGGACCAGACUCCUACGGGAGGCAGCAGUGGGGAAUAUUGCACAAUGGGCGGAAGCCUGAUGCAGCAACGCCGCGUGCGGGAUGACGGCCUUCGGGUUGUAAACCGCUUUCGCCUGUGACGAAGCGUGAGUGACGGUAAUGGGUAAAGAAGCACCGGCUAACUACGUG